rnacentral:rRNA from 1 species
UACGUAGGGAGCAAGCGUUGUCCGGAUUCACUGGGUGUAAAGGGUGCGCAGGCGGGCAAGUAAGUCAGAGGUGAAAUCUCACAGCUUAACUGUGAAACUGCCUUUGAUACUGCUUUUCUUGAGUUCGGGAGAGGUUGAUGGAAUUCCAGGUGUAGCGGUGAAAUGCGUAGAUAUCUGGAAGAACACCAGUGGCGAAGGCGGUCAACUGGCCCGUAACUGACGCUCAGGCACGAAAGCGUGGGUAGCGAACAGG